rnacentral:rRNA from 1 species
UGGGGAAUCUUGCGCAAUGGCCUAACGGCUGACGCAGCGACGCCGCGUGAGGGAUGACGCUCUUCGGAGUGUAAACCUCUUUUGCCUGAGACGAAUUGUCAGCUUUAGCUGAUUUGACUGUAUCGGGUGAAUAAGCACCGGCUAACUCCGUGCCAGCAGCCGCGGUAAUACGGGGGGUGCGAGCGUUGUCCGGAAUCACUGGGCGUAAAGGGCGCGUAGGUGGCCUGAUAAGGGUGUGGUGAAAGUCCGGGGCUCAACCCCGGAUCGGCCGUGCCGACUGUUGGGCUAGAGUACUGUAGGGGCAGGCGGAAUUCCGGGUGUAGCGGUGGAAUGCAUAGAGAUCCGGAGGAAGACCGGUGGCGAAGGCGGCCUGCUGGGCAGUUACUGACACUGAGGCGCGACAGCGUGGGGAAGCAAACAGGAUUAGAUACCC